rnacentral:rRNA from 1 species
GUCCAUGCUGUAAACGAUGAAUGUUAAUUAUAUAAAAAUUUUUAUGUAAUUUAGUUAACACGUUAAACAUUCCGCCUGGGGAGUACGGCCGCAAGGUUAAAACUCAAAUGAAUUGACGGAAAUCCGCACAAGCGGUGGAGCAUGUGGUUUAAUGCGAUACAACGCGCAAAACCUUACCAGUUCUUGAAUAUAAAAGUUUUAAAGUUACAAAUUUAAAAUAAAUAUUUUUUAUUAUUAUAUAAAAUAUUAUUUUAUACAGGUGCUGCAUGGCUGUCGU